rnacentral:rRNA from 1 species
CUUGCUCAACAUAAGAGGUCCAGCCUGCCCAGUGACAAAGUUUAACGGCCGCGGUACCCUAACCGUGCAAAGGUAGCAUAAUCACUUGUUCUUUAAAUAGGGACUCGUAUCAACGGCAUCACGAGGGUUAUACUGUCUCCUUUCUCCAAUCAGUGAAACUGAUCUCCCCGUGAAGAAGCGGGGAUUUAACUAUAAGACGAGAAGACCCCAUGGAGCUUUAAGUAAUGUAUUUACCUUUAUAUUUUAACUUCAACUUAACAAAAAAGAAUUAAGUACAAACUUUAGGUUGGGGGGACCGCGGAGUACAACUUAACCUCCACGACAAACGGGCCACGCCCUUAUCCACGAGCUACAACUCUAAGAAUCAAUAAACUGAUGUUUAAUGACCCGAUAAUUCGAUCAACGAACCA